rnacentral:pre_miRNA from 2 species
AGGAGAAAGGACCCUUCCGGAGGGCCCCCCCUCAAUCCUGUUGUGCCUAAUUCAGAGGGUUGGGUGGAGGCUCUCCUGAAGGGCUCUGAAGAGCACUGCACCCGCAGCUG